CCCAGACUCCUACGGGAGGCAGCAGUGGGGAAUAUUGCACAAUGGGGGAAACCCUGAUGCAGCGACGCCGCGUGAGUGAAGAAGUAUUUCGGUAUGUAAAGCUCUAUCAGCAGGGAAGAAAAUGACGGUACCUGAUUAAGAAGCCCCGGCUAACUACGUGCCAGCAGCCGCGGUAAUACGUAGGGGGCAAGCGUUAUCCGGAUUUACUGGGUGUAAAGGGAGCGUAGACGGCAGCACAAGUCUGAAGUGGAAUGCCGGGGCUUAACCCCGGAACUGCUUUGGAAACUGUGCAGCUAGAGUGCAGGAGAGGGAAGUGGAAUUCCUAGUGUAGCGGUGAAAUGCGUAGAUAUUAGGAGGAACACCAGUGGCGGAGGCGGCGUCCUGGACUGUAACUGACGUUGAGGCUCGAAAGCGUGGGGAGCAAACAGGAUUAGAUACCCCCGUACAC
rnacentral:rRNA from 1 species